rnacentral:rRNA from 1 species
CAGUAGCCGCGGUAAUGCGUAGGUGGCAAGCGUUGUCCGGAAUUAUUGGGCGUAAAGGGCUCGCAGGCGGUUUCUUAAGUCUGAUGUGAAAGCCCCCGGCUCAACCGGGGAGGGUCAUUGGAAACUGGGAAACUUGAGUGCAGAAGUGGAGAGUGGAAUUCCACGUGUAGCGGUGAAAUGCGUAGAGAUGUGGAGGAACACCAGUGGCGAAGGCGACCCUCUGGUCUGUAACUGACGCUGAGGAGCGAAAGCGUGGGGAGCGAACAGGAUUAGAUACCCCGGUAGUCCCUGUCUCUUAUAU